UACGUAGGGUGCGAGCGUUGUCCGGAUUUAUUGGGCAUAAAGAGCUCGUAGGCGGUUUGUCGCGUCGGCCGUGAAAUCUCCACGCUUAACGUGGAGCGUGCGGUCGAUACGGGCAGACUUGAGUUCGGUAGGGGAGACUGGAAUUCCUGGUGUAGCGGUGAAAUGCGCAGAUAUCAGGAGGAACACCGGGUGGCGAAGGCGGGUCUCUGGGCAUUACCUGACGCUGAGGAGCGAAAGCGUGGGGGAGCGAACAGG
rnacentral:rRNA from 1 species